GUGAGGAAUAUUGGACAAUGGAUGGAAAUCUGAUCCAGCCAUGCCGCGUGCAGGAAGACGGCCCUAUGGGUUGUAAACUGCUUUUAUACGGGAGCAAUAAGGUCUAUGCAUAGAUUGAUGAGAGUACCGUAUGAAUAAGCAUCGGCUAACUCCGUGCCAGCAGCCGCGGUAAUACGGAGGAUGCGAGCGUUAUCCGGAUUUAUUGGGUUUAAAGGGUGCGUAGGCGGCUUUGUAAGUUAGCGGUGAAAUUUUGCAGCUUAACUGUAAAAGCGCCGUUGAUACUGUGAAGCUAGGAUUUGGUUGCUGUGGGCGGAAUGUGUGGUGUAGCGGUGAAAUGCAUAGAGAUCACACAGAAUAUCGAUUGCGAAGGCAGCUCACAAAGCCAAUAUUGACGCUGAGGCACGAAAGUGUGGGGAUCAAACAGGAUUAGAUACCCCAGUAGUCC
rnacentral:rRNA from 1 species